rnacentral:rRNA from 1 species
UCGAGAAUCUUUCGCAAUGGGGGAAACCCUGACGAAGCGACGCCGCGUGAACGAUGAAGGUCUUCGGAUUGUAAAGUUCUGUCGCCUGGGAAGAACUGCUUUAGCGCUAAUAUCGCUAGAGUUUGACGUUACCAGGAGAGGAAGCCCCGGCUAACUCUGUGCCAGCAGCCGCGGUAAUACAGAGGGGGCAAGCGUUGUUCGGAUUUACUGGGCGUAAAGGGCGCGUAGGUGGAUUUAAAAGUCAGAUGUGAAAUUUCGGUGCUCACCAUCGAAUCUGCAUCUGAAACUAUAGAUCUUGAGUUUGGGGGAAGGGAAUGGAAUUCUCGGUGUAGCGGUGAAAUGUGUAGAUAUCGAGAAGAACACCAGUGGCGAAAGCGGUUCUCUAUCCUAAAACUGACACUGAGGCGCGAAAGCUAGGGGAGCGAACG